rnacentral:rRNA from 1 species
UACGGAGGGGGCUAGCGUUGUUCGGAAUUACUGGGCGUAAAGCGCACGUAGGCGGCUUUGUAAGUUAGAGGUGAAAGCCCGGGGCUCAACUCCGGAAUUGCCUUUAAGACUGCAUCGCUAGAAUUGUGGAGAGGUAAGUGGAAUUCCGAGUGUAGAGGUGAAAUUCGUAGAUAUUCGGAAGAACACCAGUGGCGAAGGCGACUUACUGGACACAUAUUGACGCUGAGGUGCGAAAGC